GUGGGGAAUCUUGCACAAUGGGCGAAAGCCUGAUGCAGCCAUGCCGCGUGAAUGAUGAAGGCCUUAGGGUUGUAAAAUUCUUUCGUCAGGGAUGAUAAUGACCGUACCUGAAGAAGAAGCCCCGGCUAACUUCGUGCCAGCAGCCGCGGUAAUACGAAGGGGGCUAGCGUUGUUCGGAAUUACUGGGCGUAAAGCGCACGUAGGCGGACUUUUAAGUCAGGUGUGAAAUCCCGGGGCUCAACCUCGGAACUGCAUUUGAAACUGGAAGUCUUGAGAUCAGGAGAGGUUAGCGGAAUACCGAGUGUAGAGGUGAAAUUCGUAGAUAUUCGGUGGAACACCAGUGGCGAAGGCGGCUAACUGGACUGAUACUGACGCUGAGGUGCGAAAGUGUGGGGAGCAAACAGGAUUAGAAACCCGGGUAGUCC
rnacentral:rRNA from 1 species